ensembl:lncRNA
CACCUCAGUCUGUUGGGUACUGCCUUGAGAAUAUCAGAGGCACUUUCUCUGUAUAGAAGCUUGGUCUCUCUCUGGUAGAUGGGAGCAUGGCACCCCACUCCAGUACUCUUGCCUGGGAAAUCCCAUGGAUGGAGGAGCCUGGGCGGGGUCUACACCAUCUGACCUGGUCAGCGAGGCUGCAGUCCCCUCAGUGGUCCUGAACCCAGGGGGAAACUUGUGCACCUUCUUGAGUGCCUUCAGGAGGAUGCUCCCCCUGCCCCAGGCAGCCUGGUUCUGUGUGGGUGCGUUUCUGAAUAUAUGUGACUUGUCUGGGAGUUACUGAUUAGCCAAGUGCAGCACAAAGCCAUCGAAGGAGGAAAGACCUCAGAAGGACUGAUGUGUAAUGGGCUUCACGCAGUGGACUGGGCUCAAAUGAAACUGCCCCAAGAAGGAGCUGUGGUGGCGAUUGGCUCCUUCAAACCCAGUGAGUGGGCGGCCCCAGCUUCUGUGGGUGGCAUGCCCGAUGGAUUGAACAUUGCAGCCUGGGAAAAACAUGGGAAGGUGUGGCUGCGGUUGAUGGUGGCUGUCAGCCCAGUAAAUGGUGCCCGAGAGAGUCUGGGGAGGGAGUGGGGUCCUGUUAGCCCAGAGCCAGGGGCUCCCUUCCUUCCUGCUUCACCGACCCCUCGGUGUCCAGAGAGUUGAAGAAUGCUGAAGAUCCUUGUGCAGAUAACACACGAAUCGUGCAGGUACACACACAUUGUACCUUCUGUGAUCGCACAGCCAAGGGGGAAACAGAAGGAGGCCGUCAUUAGCUAGCUAUUGAUUGGAACAGUCACAGAGGAGUCCCUGCGUGCAGGCCAAGCAUUCUGGGGGACAGGGACUCCCCAGAAAAGGAAUAAAGUGGAGGCAAAGGAAACGCCUGUGUCUAUUUCCUCGGGGGACCCCAUUUCCUCUUUUUGGGACAAGUCAAGGAAACCACUUUGGGUUGGACG